GAUGAACGCUGGCGGCGUGCCUAAUACAUGCAAGUAGAACGCUGAAGGAGGAGCUUGCUCUUCUGGAUGAGUUGCGAACGGGUGAGUAACGCGUAGGUAACCUGCCUUGUAGCGGGGGAUAACUAUUGGAAACGAUAGCUAAUACCGCAUGACAACAGUUAUUGCAUGAUAACUGUUUAAAAGGGGCAACUGCUCCACUACCAGAUGGACCUGCGUUGUAUUAGCUAGUUGGUGAGGUAACGGCACACCAAGGCGACGAUACAUAGCCGAACUGAGAGGGUGAUCAGCCACACUGAGAGUGAGACACGGCCCAGACUCCUACGGGAGGCAGCAGUAGGGAAUCGGCGGCAAGGGACGGAAGUCUGACCGAGCAACGCCGCGUGAGUGAAGAAGGUUUUCGGGUCGUAAAGCUCUGUUGUAAGGGAAGAACGAGUGUGAGAGUGGAAAGUUCACACUGUGACGGUAACUUACCAGAAAGGGACGGCUAACUACGUG
rnacentral:rRNA from 1 species